AGAGUUUGAUCCUGGCUCAGGAUGAACGCUAGCGGCAGGCCUAAUACAUGCAAGUCGAACGGUAAAUAUUCAGCAAUGGAUAUGAGAGUGACGUACGGGUGCGUAACACGUAUGCAACCUACCCUUUACAGGAGGAUAGCUCGGGGAAACUCGGAUUAACCCUCCAUAAUAUAAUUGGAUGGCAUCAUUUGAUUAUUAAAUCUCCGGAGGUAAAGGAUGGGCAUGCGUCUGAUUAGUUAGUUGGCGGUGUAACGGACCACCAAGACGAUGAUCAGUAGGGGAACUGAGAGGUUGAUCCCCCACACUGGCACUGAGAUACGGGCCAGACUCCUACGGGAGGCAGCAGUAGGGAAUAUUGGUCAAUGGAUGGAAGUCUGAACCAGCCAUGCCGCGUGCAGGAAGAAGGCCUUCUGGGUUGUAAACUGCUUUUGCCAGGGGCUAAAACGCCCAUGCGUGGGAAAUUGAAAGUACCUGGUGAAUAAGCCACGGCUAACUACGUGCCAGCAGCCGCGGUAAUACGUAGGUGGCAAGCGUUGUCCGGAUUUAUUGGGUUUAAAGGGUGCGUAGGCGGCUUUGUAAGUCAGUGGUGAAAUAUGGCAGCUUAACUGUCAAGGUGCCAUUGAUACUGCGGAGCUUGAGUACAGAUGAGGUAGGCGGAAUUGACGGUGUAGCGGUGAAAUGCUUAGAUAUCGUCAAGAACACCUAUAGCGAAGGCAGCUUACUAGGCUGUAACUGACGCUGAGGCACGAAAGUGUGGGGAUCAAACAGGAUUAGAUACCCUGGUAGUCCACACUGUAAACGUUGAUUACUCGCUGUGUGCGAUAUACAGUACGCGGCCAAGCGAAAGCGCUAAGUAAUCCACCUGGGGAGUACGCCGGCAACGGUGAAACUCAAAGGAAUUGACGGGGGUCCGCACAAGCGGUGGAGCAUGUGGUUUAAUUUCGAUGAUACGCGAGGAACCUUA
rnacentral:rRNA from 1 species